rnacentral:rRNA from 1 species
UACGUAGGGGGCAAGCGUUGUCCGGAAUUAUUGGGCGUAAAGAGCUCGUAGGCGGACUGUCACGUCUGCUGUGAAAAGCUAGGGCUUAACCCUGGCCUUGCAGUGGAUACGGGCAGACUAGAGGUAGGUAGGGGAGAAUGGAAUUCCCGGUGUAGCGGUGAAAUGCGCAGAUAUCGGGAGGAACACCGGUGGCGAAGGCGGUUCUCUGGGCCUUACCUGACGCUGAGGAGCGAAAGCGUGGGGAGCAAACAGG